GAUGAACGCUGGCGGCGUGCCUAAUACAUGCAAGUCGAGCGAACAGACGAGGAGCUUGCUCCUCUGACGUUAGCGGCGGACGGGUGAGUAACACGUGGAUAACCUACCUAUAAGACUGGGAUAACUUCGGGAAACCGGAGCUAAUACCGGAUAAUAUAUUGAACCGCAUGGUUCAAUAGUGAAAGACGGUUUUGCUGUCACUUAUAGAUGGAUCCGCGCCGCAUUAGCUAGUUGGUAAGGUAACGGCUUACCAAGGCAACGAUGCGUAGCCGACCUGAGAGGGGGAUCGGCAACACUGGAACUGAGACACGGUCCAGACUCCUACGGGAGGCAGCAGUAGGGAAUCUUCCGCAAUGGGCGAAAGCCUGACGGAGCAACGCCGCGUGAGUGAUGAAGGUCUUCGGAUCGUAAAACUCUGUUAUUAGGGAAGAACAAAUGUGUAAGUAACUAUGCACGUCUUGACGGUACCUAAUCAGAAAGCCACGGCUAACUACG
rnacentral:rRNA from 1 species